AUCUCUGUGAUAGUGGCAUCGAUGUGGAAUCGAUCGGAUCGAUACUAGGAAUGUAUAAAUCCCUCCUCGCCAUCGGCUGCGUUCACUUCACCUCCUCCCGCUACAAGCGUCAUCACGGCUCUCAGGCUUUGAACAAAGAAGCUCGGUAUGUCUUCUGCAACCCUAUUCAGCUGCGCAUGCGCAAUGGUACUCCUCGUAUCAGUCGUCACGCCAUCGCCCACGCUACCGGAAGUAGGACUGAAAGACAUGGGAUCUGAACACGCAUGUCUGUUUAUGUGUGAAAUGUGUUUCACCGGAUUUCCUAAAGCGAUGUUGUACUGCGCUAACGAGGUGUGCGCUGCUGGGACCUGCAACGCCCCCGGGAUGGUGUGGGUGGGCCGCACCUGCAAGAACCCAGCACUCCUUGACAAAUUCUUGUCCAAGUAGAAUCCAGGUUCAACAAACUGACUUUUGAUUUCGUCAUCACCUUCACAUCCAGACAGUGCACUAGACACUAGACGUAGACCUGUUAAAGUGGCCCUUUUAUAACAUAAUGGCAUUUAAAGCAUUUCAACAAGAAACCCAUCCGCGGGGAUGCAUGUUACAGCAUGUGUUCCAGUUAACACCCUAGAUCUACUCAUCAAGAAUCGAACCGGAUGGAGUCUGGAUACUUCCUGCAACGGGGUUGGACAAAACGUUAUCGUUUAAGUAUUUUUCUGUUAAGGUCUUACGUUGAAAUUGUUAUGGGUCAGUGACACAAUGGUGAUGGAUGUUUUGGAGUUCAAUAAACCAACAAAACGGUUUUCAUAAUGAUUGCUCAAUAAUUUCAGAUGAAAAGGAAAGAAUGUAUUCGCAGGUACGCCUCUGUAAUGCCUUUUUUAAAUAGGUUCGCAAUUGUAGAUUAUAAUGAGGUAAAAAGCCAUUGUUUGAGGACAAAUGAAUAAAAUGUUAAGGACUAGGAUCCAUGUCAAUGUAGCCAUACAAUAAAUUUGUUAAAUACUG